UACGUAGGUGACAAGCGUUGUCCGGAUUUACUGGGCGUAAAGAGCGCGCAGGCGGUCGAUCAAGUCGAGUGUGAAAGCCCCCGGCUCAACUGGGGAGGGUCAUUCGAUACUGAUCGACUCGAAGGCAGGAGAGGGUAGUGGAAUUCCCGGUGUAGCGGUGAAAUGCGCAGAGAUCGGGAGGAACACCCGUAGCGAAGGCGGCACUCUGGGCCGGUACUGACGCUGAGGAGCGAAAGCGUGGGGAGCAAACAGG
rnacentral:rRNA from 1 species